rnacentral:lncRNA from 1 species
AAGCUGCAGGUGAAAAGGAAACAAGGACAUCGUGUCUCUUAAGCUGCUUCCUGCUGUCUAGGGGCGUCGUUUACUUUGGGGUGUAGCUGGCUUUCAGCAUCGGAAUCCACUUGAUAAACUUUCACAUCAGGUUCCUCUGUGGACAGUGGCUCUUCUGUCGUCAGCAGCUGGUAAUCCUGUAUCAGGAGCUGAUUAAUAGUUUGGUUAGAAAUUUUUUGUAUUUGUCAUUGAAGGAAUGUAGAAACGAGAUUAAUGAGUCAAGGAGGAAAAUAAAACAAAACAAAACACAAAAAACCAACCAACCAACCAACCAAACAACCAACCAACCAACCAACCAACCAACCAACCAAACAACCAACCAAAAAACACCAGGAAGAUGACUAGGAAAUGUGUCACAAAAAGGGAGUAUUCACUUCCAAAUAGGAUUUUCGAAAAUCCCAGAACUGGAGGUCUCGUGGUCUCUGAAGUUCUUUAUGCUCCCGGGUUUUAUUUCUCACUAUCCUGGAUGGGUUGGCGUUUCUACAGCAUUUCUUCUUGGAGGAACAGGCAAAGACCAUCUUCUUUAGCUGUCAGAACAGAAUCUAGUCCCCGUCGGUUCUGAAGCACCAUGGCUGCCAAAGAAUUUAUUUGUUUCUG